UAUCAAUCUAAGGGGAAACACAGGUAGUGACAGUGCACGUGUGCCUCAACACAAACCCUCUAUCAUCUGAGAACCUGUUCGUUAGUAUCCCCUCCUUAUAAUACUGGAGAUACCAGUGCCCACUAUACACGUUUUAACUACCGGUAAUGAUGAUGGUAAUAAGAAUUCUAGAUACUCUGUUUUUAAUAAUUAAGAAGUCAAUAGAACCAAGCAGUGAAAUCUUAUAUUCAUCAAACACCUUUAUAGCCAAAUCUUUUCUGGUUUAAAUUUUCAAAAUACCAAACAAAUGUAGCUUUCGUGUACUAUACAAGUCUCCCUCCUGGUUUAUAUAACAUCAAGUUCCUUUAUCUAGAUAACGAUAAGGUUUGGCCAUAGAGCCUAACCUGUAUCUUACAGGCUAGAUCUAAUAGAUUCACCCCCUGGAUAAUGAUCUGUAUAAAACUCUUCAAUGAUGAAAGGAUAACAGAUAUAUCCAGAUCAGUUACAUAGAUUCCCAAUUUAUUGCUCUGUAACGUUUUAGCAGCAGGUAUCUAUAUAAGCCCUUUUAUGUCGAGGAAAUUUCUAUCAAGACAGUUUUUUUGGUUCUGGCUGUACGAUUAUCAAGUAAUAACAUUUCUCAGUGUACUGCCAGAAUUGCUGUAUUAUAAAGGAGACGGAUCUGAUUCAAUUAGAACCAGAUCUAUAAAUAGAACACUGCAUAACUGUUAACAGUGUACAUCUGUGUUGAAUGGUAAAUUAUACAAUGACAUGAAAUUGACAUAUAGUCGUGGAAUUUAAAUUGCUAAUAACGAUAAAGUGUCUGUGAUGUUGUCUAUAACACUUUCAGAUUUGACUCAAGUUUUAUCCAUAUUUAGGCUGAUGGUAAUUUGAAACCACCAUCAAAUUGUCUCCCCUUAACACCUACACUUUGGCCUGCUAUGGUUGUCUACCCUUUUAUUUGCUUACUAGAUCGCUUUAUGAUGAACAUUAAUCUGUUUUGUUAUACAACAUGUUUGUGUAUUUUGUAUGACUUCUUCAAUAGUUAAAUUUCAUCAUUAAUUGCCAAGAUGAUUUAUCCAAAUAUUUUUUUUAGGUGUGGCGAAUGAACUCUGCCAAAACCCUGUUGGCCUCCCCAAGUUUGACAUCCUCCCUGUACUUGUGUAUGUAGCCUGUCAGACUAACAGCAUGACUCCAGACAAUGGUAGGUAGAGGUUCAGUACUAGGAGUACCUAAAGUACUCGGUACUUGUAGCGACCGACAUUUACAGACUAACUUCCUUCCCCUUCGUGUUUGAGCAACAACAGCAGCCAGCAGGAGAAGACAGACAUGGGCGGAGAUUGCGGUGAAGUUGGAGAGAGACAGAUAAAAGAUGUGGACUUAUAUGUUACCUGUGUGGCCAUUGGAUCAGUUGAAUACGAAGACGAAGACAAUGAACAGGUUACGGUAGAUUUACAGAAUACAGUCAUCAGUGCAAUGGUCAAGAAGCAUGGGUGAUAACUAUUGCACUCUACAUGUCCACCACCUCCAGACACUCCAGUGUCAUCACGAGAUACAAACAAUGACCAGUAUGUCAUGAUGGGUAAAAACCACUUAGGAAAUUAAGGACCUUGAGAGGCAAAAGGUAACCAAAACAUGUUCAGAAGCUGAGAACAUAUACCUGUGUACAGUAUAAAUGAGAAGGUGACACAUUAGACUUCAUCAGAGGGUGACUGGAUUAUUGACUGUCUAUUUAUAGAAGUCCUCGUAGAUAACAUAAGGGAUUCAUCAAGAUCAAUUCUACACUUUGAAUAAAGUUUCAUUAAAUCACUUAA
rnacentral:lncRNA from 1 species